rnacentral:rRNA from 1 species
CCUACGGGGGGCAGCAGUGAGGAAUAUUGGCCAAUGGGCGGGAGCCUGAACCAGCCAAGUCGCGUGAGGGAAUAAGGCCCUACGGGUCGUAAACCUCUUUUGCCGGGGAGCAAGGGCCGGGACGAGUCCCGGUCCGGAGCGUACCCGGAGAAAAAGCAUCGGCUAACUCCGUGCCAGCAGCCGCGGUAAUACGGAGGAUGCGAGCGUUAUCCGGAUUUAUUGGGUUUAAAGGGUGCGUAGGCGGGCUUUUAAGUCAGCGGUAAAAAUUCGGGGCUCAACCCCGUCCGGCCGUUGAAACUGGGGGG